ACCACCAGCCUCACCCUCCUGGGACCCAGGCCUGUUGUCUUCCUUAGCCUGGAACCUAAGCACAUUUCUAUCCCAACCCUCUCUGGCACACUAACAGCCCCUUCCCUCCUGGGACAGGCUGUAAGCACCUUGAAUCCUCAUCUUACCUCAGCCGAUUUCCCCAGCCCUCAUCUCUGUUCCCUAUUUGAGGAUAUCAAUCCGUCCCAGACCUCGGCUGCCUCCCCUGCCUUCCCUCUCUCAGUCCUUUCUCUACCCCCACACCCCCGCCAAAAAAAAAUUUUUUUAAAAAAUUUAAUCUGGGACAUAUUUACUAGUCGGGAUUCUGUGGGGGCGGGGUCCUUCUCGCCUGGGACCUCAAGAGCGGACCUUUCCUUAGAUGACCCUAGAGACUGGCUUUCCAGGCAGGUCUCAGAAACCCAAAUGCUGGGCCCCCAUCUCCUCCCAUUCAGGAUUCUUGGAAGUCUAGAAUCCCAGCUCUCCUUAUCUGGGAAGAGAGGAGUCUGCACCCUCAGCGCACGUCCUAGGGGAACCUCAAGGAGAUGACUGGAGAAAAGUGAGGUCACAAAGGUGGGCUCUAACACGACUGGAGUCCUUGUCAAAAGAGAUUAAGGACCAGUGAGAUGGCUCAUCAAGGAAAGGGGAGCAUGAAUACAGUUCCUCACUACCACCAAGUAUGCAGUUGAGUUUCCUGAAUUUGGGGAAACUGUAGGGGUCAGAAUAUCAAGAUGUUCUGGAUGUGAUGGAUAAGCCUCACCCUGGGAAAAUGACCUUUGUGAUUAUGGUAUCUCUUCUUCUAGGCUCAUUGAAGAAUGCAAUGAAAUCAUUUUUAAAGAAGUGUGCUAGGCCUGAUGACACAUGCCUUUAAUCUCAGUCCUUGGGAGGCAGAGGCAAAUGGAUGUCUAACCUGUUGACUGGCUGAAUGGGCUUGGUCAGCCAUAAACAGGACAUCUCUAUCACACUCAUUCUCCAAGGCCAAAGGGAUCAUCAUCAUGCAGAAGGAGAGAGGCUGAUUCUGAGAGCCAGAGGCCAGGAUUGGGCUGUGCCCCACCUGUAGCUUUAACUACAAAUGGUUCUACAUUGCCUGUUUCAGGAAUGGAAAUCAUGUCUGUUUCACAAAGUUGUUUAUAACCAUCUUGCAAGCCUACCUCUGUUUCAAUAAGUUUAAGGCCUAGUGAAGUGAAGCCAGAGGAGACCUGGUUACCUCAGUUAUCCCAGGAAGAACUCCACAUGCCAGCCUGGAUCUUCCACAUGGUAGUCUCUCACCAUGGC
rnacentral:lncRNA from 1 species